ACCUAAAUUCGCCAAAGGAAACCACAAAAUUGAAAGAUUAUGUUAAAACAUAAAAGCUUGGUGCAUUCACUCACUCGCUCACUCACCUAUUGGAUUGACAUUUCCCCAGUAAGUCUCCUUCUGAGGAUGCUCCAGCGGAUCACCGUAGACCUCACUGGUGCUAGUAAGCAGAAACCUAGCCCCAAUUCUCUUCGCAAGGCCCAACAUGUUAAGCGUCCCCAUCACAUUCGUCUUGUAAACCAACAAUUAAGUAUAACAAAAUUCAAAUAAAGCAAUAUUUAAAAGAGAGUUGAAAAAAGGGGGAGUCAGUUAGAAAUUAGAAGGAUAUGAUGGUCUUGACGGGGUUGUACUUGUAAUGCACCGGCGAAGCGGGACACGCGAGGUGGUAGAUCUGAUCCACCUCGAGGAGAAUCGGUUCAACGACGUCAUGGCGAAUUAGCUCGAACCUAGGGUUGCCGAAGAGGUGCACCAGGUUCUCCUUUC
rnacentral:lncRNA from 1 species